rnacentral:ncRNA from 22 species
GCCAUCUCAACGGGGUGCUGGCUGUUUAAAACAGCCUUGCUGAGAGUAAACCCGCCGAACCUGAUCCGGCUAAUACCGGCGUAGGGAUUUGAGCUGCUAACUAUU